rnacentral:rRNA from 1 species
GAUGAACGCUGGCGGCGUGCCUAAUACAUGCAAGUCGAGCGAACAGACGAGGAGCUUGCUCCUCUGACGUUAGCGGCGGACGGGUGAGUAACACGUGGAUAACCUACCUAUAAGACUGGGAUAACUUCGGGAAACCGGAGCUAAUACCGGAUAAUAUAUUGAACCGCAUGGUUCAAUAGUGAAAGACGGUUUUGCUGUCACUUAUAGAUGGAUCCGCGCCGCAUUAGCUAGUUGGUAAGGUAACGGCUUACCAAGGCAACGAUGCGUAGCCGACCUGAGAGGGUGAUCGGUCACACUGGAACUGAGACACGGUCCAGACUCCUACGGGAGGCAGCAGUAGGGAAUCUUCCGCAAUGGGCGAAAGCCUGACGGAGCAACGCCGCGUGAGUGAUGAAGGUCUUCGGAUCGUAGAACUCUGUUAUUAGGGAAGAACAAAUGUGUAAGUAACUAUGCACGUCUUGACGGUACCUAAUCAGAAAGCCACGGCUAACUACGUG